rnacentral:misc_RNA from 1 species
GAGACAAGCAUAUGACUACUGGCAGGAUCAACCAGGUAGCAUUCCUUUGAGACGUUGACACCCGCAUGAACCCCGCCAAGCUGAGGCUGCGAGCUCAAAAACGAGCGCAACAGUCGUUCGGGUCGUUGGACGAAAUGCAUUACUUUGUUAGAUGGAGGCCUCCUAGAGACCACCCACCAGCAACACAUAACAUUCUACAUCCGAGAGCACGGGCAAAGAAUCUCAUGGGCCAAGGCCACCACACAACUAAGCGAGGCAUGCCGGGAACACAAGCCUUGCCUAAUGUCCACCCCACCACCCGUGAGGGCAUGGGGCGGAGAGAAAGAAACAAACCAUCGAAUUCCUUCCAAUAGGUAAGCAACACAGGAUACCGAA